UACCGAGGUCUCAAGCGUUGUUCGGAUUCAUUGGGCGUAAAGGGUGCGUAGGCGGCGCGGUAAGUCGGGUGUGAAAUCUUGGAGCUUAACUCCGAAACUGCAUUCGAUACUGCCGUGCUUGAGGACUGGAGAGGAGACUGGAAUUUACGGUGUAGCGGUGAAAUGCGUAGAUAUCGUAAGGAAGACCAGUGGCGAAGGCGGGUCUCUGGACAGUUCCUGACGCUGAGGCACGAAGGCCAGGGGAGCAAACGGG
rnacentral:rRNA from 1 species